CCUACGGGAGGCAGCAGUGAGGAAUAUUGGUCAAUGGACGAGAGUCUGAACCAGCCAAGUAGCGUGAAGGAUGACUGCCCUAUGGGUUGUAAACUUCUUUUAUAUGGGAAUAAAAUGUUCCACGUGUGGGAUUUUGUAUGUACCAUAUGAAUAAGGAUCGGCUAACUCCGUGCCAGCAGCCGCGGUAAUACGGAGGAUCCGAGCGUUAUCCGGAUUUAUUGGGUUUAAAGGGAGCGUAGGUGGAUUGUUAAGUCAGUUGUGAAAGUUUGCGGCUCAACCGUAAAAUUGCAGUUGAAACUGGCAGUCUUGCGUACAGUAGAGGUGGGCGGAAUUCGUGGUGUAGCGGUGAAAUGCUUAGAUAUCACGAAGAACUCCGAUUGCGAAGGCAGUUCACUGGACUGCAACUGACACUGAGGCUCGAAAGUGUGGGUAUCAAACAGGAUUAGAUACCCGUGUAGUC
rnacentral:rRNA from 1 species